rnacentral:lncRNA from 1 species
UGAAAUCUCCACAAUUAUUAACCAAUCCUAAAACAAUAUUAUCAAUUAAAAAUCUAAAACAAUUAUCAAUUAAAGUUCUAAAACAAUUAUCAAUUAAAAUUUUAAUUAACAUCCCAUUAAUAACAUCACUAUUCUAAAAAAUCAAACAAUCCACAAUACUAAAAUUCAAUCCAAAAUUCUAAUAACAAAAUUAAGGCUCUAAUAACAAAAUUCAAAUCAGAUUAACAAAUUAGCAGAAUUAAUGUUUAUUAGCAAGAUCAACAUGGGCCUAAACCACCCCAAGCCCAAGCAGGAGGGGGUGCAUUGGUCGAAAUG